rnacentral:rRNA from 1 species
AGAGUUUGAUCCUGGCUCAGGAUGAACGCUAGCUACAGGCUUAACACAUGCAAGUCGAGGGGCAGCAUGUUGGUUGCUUGCAACCAAUGAUGGCGACCGGCGCACGGGUGAGUAACGCGUAUCCAACCUACCCAAUACUCAGGCAUAACCCGUUGAAAGACGGACUAAUUCCUGAUGGUAUGUAUUUUUCUCAUGAAUUAUACAUUAAAGAAUUUCGGUAUUGGAUGGGGAUGCGUCUGAUUAGUUUGUUGGUGAGGUAACGGCUCACCAAGACUUCGAUCAGUAGGGGUUCUGAGAGGAAGGUCCCCCACAUUGGAACUGAGACACGGUCCAAACUCCUACGGGAGGCAGCAGUGAGGAAUAUUGGUCAAUGGACGGAAGUCUGAACCAGCCAAGUAGCGUGCAGGAUGACGGCCCUAUGGGUUGUAAACUGCUUUUAUGUGGGGAUAAAGUGAGCUACGUGUAGUUUAUUGCAGGUACCACAUGAAUAAGGACCGGCUAAUUCCGUGCCAGCAGCCGCGGUAAUACGGAAGGUCCAGGCGUUAUCCGGAUUUAUUGGGUUUAAAGGGAGCGUAGGCCGUGGAUUAAGCGUGUUGUGAAAUGUAGAUGCUCAACAUCUGACUUGCAGCGCGAACUGGUUUACUAGAGUGUGCACAACGUAGGCGGAAUUCGUCGUGUAGCGGUGAAAUGCUUAGAUAUGACGAAGAACUCCGAUUGCGAAGGCAGCUGACGGGAGCGCAACUGACGCUUAAGCUCGAAGGUGCGGGUAUCGAACAGGAUUAGAUACCCUGGUAGUCCGCACAGUAAACGAUGGAUGCCCGCUGUUGGUCCAUUAGGGUCAGCGGCCAAGCGAAAGCAUUAAGCAUCCCACCUGGGGAGUACGCCGGCAACGGUGAAACUCAAAGGAAUUGACGGGGGCCCG